AACGUAGGGGGCUAGCGUUGUCCGGAAUCAUUGGGCGUAAAGAGCGUGUAGGCGGUCCGGUAAGUCCGCUGUGAAAGUCGGGGGCUCAACCCUCGAAUGCCGGUGGAUACUGUCGGGCUAGAGUGCGGAAGAGGCGAGUGGAAUUCCUGGUGUAGCGGUGAAAUGCGCAGAUAUCAGGAGGAACACCUAUUGCGAAGGCAGCUCGCUGGGACGUAACUGACGCUGAGACGCGAAAGCGUGGGGAGCAAACAGG
rnacentral:rRNA from 1 species